rnacentral:rRNA from 1 species
AUAAUGGGUCAGCGACUUAUAUUCUGUAGCAAGGUUAACCGAAUAGGGGAGCCGAAGGGAAACCGAGUCUUAACUGGGCGUUAAGUUGCAGGGUAUAGACCCGAAACCCGGUGAUCUAGCCAUGGGCAGGUUGAAGGUUGGGUAACACUAACUGGAGGACCGAACCGACUAAUGUUGAAAAAUUAGCGGAUGACUUGUGGCUGGGGGUGAAAGGCCAAUCAAACCGGGAGAUAGCUGGUUCUCCCCGAAAGCUAUUUAGGUAGCGCCUCGUGAAUUCAUCUCCGGGGGUAGAGCACUGUUUCGGCAAGGGGGUCAUCCCGACUUACCAACCCGAUGCAAACUGCGAAUACCGGAGAAUGUUAUCACGGGAGACACACGGCGGGUGCUAACGUCCGUCGUGAAGAGGGAAACAACCCAGACCGCCAGCUAAGGUCCCAAAGUCAUGGUUAAGUGGGAAACGAUGUGGGAAGGCCCAGACAGCCAGGAUGUUGGCUUAGAAGCAGCCAUCAUUUAAAGAAAGCGUAAUAGCUCACUGGUCGAGUCGGCCUGCGCGGAAGAUGUAACGGGGCUAAACCAUGCACCGAAGCUGCGGCAGCGACGCUUAUGCGUUGUUGGGUAGGGGAGCGUUCUGUAAGCCUGCGAAGGUGUGCUGUGAGGCAUGCUGGAGGUAUCAGAAGUGCGAAUGCUGACAUAAGUAACGAUAAAGCGGGUGAAAAGCCCGCUCGCCGGAAGACCAAGGGUUCCUGUCCAACGUUAAUCGGGGCAGGGUGAGUCGACCCCUAAGGCGAGGCCGAAAGGCGUAGUCGAUGGGAAACAGGUUAAUAUUCCUGUACUUGGUGUUACUGCGAAGGGGGGACGGAGAAGGCUAUGUUGGCCGGGCGACGGUUGUCCCGGUUUAAGCGUGUAGGCUGGUUUUCCAGGCAAAUCCGGAAAAUCAAGGCUGAGGCGUGAUGACGAGGCACUACGGUGCUGAAGCAACAAAUGCCCUGCUUCCAGGAAAAGCCUCUAAGCAUCAGGUAACAUCAAAUCGUACCCCAAACCGACACAGGUGGUCAGGUAGAGAAUACCAAGGCGCUUGAGAGAACUCGGGUGAAGGAACUAGGCAAAAUGGUGCCGUAACUUCGGGAGAAGGCACGCUGAUAUGUAGGUGAAGUCCCUCGCGGAUGGAGCUGAAAUCAGUCGAAGAUACCAGCUGGCUGCAACUGUUUAUUAAAAACACAGCACUGUGCAAACACGAAAGUGGACGUAUACGGUGUGACGCCUGCCCGGUGCCGGAAGGUUAAUUGAUGGGGUUAGCGCAAGCGAAGCUCUUGAUCGAAGCCCCGGUAAACGGCGGCCGUAACUAUAACGGUCCUAAGGUAGCGAAAUUCCUUGUCGGGUAAGUUCCGACCUGCACGAAUGGCGUAAUGAUGGCCAGGCUGUCUCCACCCGAGACUCAGUGAAAUUGAACUCGCUGUGAAGAUGCAGUGUACCCGCGGCAAGACGGAAAGACCCCGUGAACCUUUACUAUAGCUUGACACUGAACAUUGAGCCUUGAUGUGUAGGAUAGGUGGGAGGCUUUGAAGUGUGGACGCCAGUCUGCAUGGAGCCGACCUUGAAAUACCACCCUUUAAUGUUUGAUGUUCUAACGUUGACCCGU